UAGCUGAGCGGUAAAGCACUUGGCUUCCGAACAGGGGAUCCAGGUUGGAAUCCUGG
rfam:Biomphalaria glabrata isolate BB02 unplaced genomic scaffold LGTN_random_Scaffold589, whole genome shotgun sequence.